rnacentral:RNase_P_RNA from 1 species
UUUAAGGAGAGGAAAGUCCGGACAACGCAGGGCACCGCACUUCUCGAAAGGAAGGCAUGUUUACAUGACAGACAGUGCUGCAGAAAUUUAUACCGCCGAUGACUGAUCGCAAGAUGAGCACAGGUAAGGGUGAAAAGGUGAGGUAAGAGCUCACCAGCGGCAAAGAGAUUUGUCGGCUUUGGUAAACCUUGUGGGUUGCAAGAUCGCAUAGGCUGGCGCCUGAGGACGGCCCGUCCAAGCCAGUGGGUUGAUCGCGUAGAUAAAUGAUGAAGCAUCCCUCGGGAUGAACAGAAUCCGGCUUACCAU